UCUCACUUUCUCAAUUUAUCUCUCACUUUCUCAGUUUAUAUUUCUAACUUUUCUCUCAGUCGGAGUCUCUCUCUCUUUCUCAGUGUCUCACACUUUCACACGAGCACUUCACUUUACAUUUUGCAGAGACACUUUCACACGAGCACCUGACUUUACAUUUUGCAGAGUUGGGCGUAGGCAAAGAACUGUCCUGUGGUCCAAAGCGUGAGUGUUUGUUGGCUUAGUCCUCCUUAUUUAACAAAUGAUUAUUACCUUGUUUGGCAGUAGAAUUGGCUUGUGGUCCUGUUGGUGUUUCUAAUAAUUACUUUAUUCUUAUGCAGAAUUGGCAUCAGGCGCUUGGUGCCGUGUUUUUGUUAAUCGCCGUGCUGAUUAAUUGCGGUGCUUCUGUUAAGGUGGCCGGACUCAUUAUUCACGGUGCUUCCGAGGCAAUCGGUUUUUUGGAUUCAAAAAAGGUUAGUGAUUUGUAUUAUAUAAAAGUUGUUAUAAUUUGUCACUUUAUGUUAGUGAAUUGUUGAUAAAUAUUUUAUGUUAUUGUUAUAAUAUGUUAUUAAUUAAAUAUUUAAUUUAUUGUUGAAGCAAUUGUAAACAGAUAAUGUAAUUUACGUAUGUUUGCUAAUAUUAGUUAGUGAAGCACGGUACACGCUUAGUUGAAUUAGUUUAGUGAUUGAAUUAGUUUAAGUAGAUUAAUUAGUUGUUUAAAUUUGUUUAAUAAAUGUAUUUAAAGUGAUUGAUUAAAUGAAUGUAAAUCUAUAAUAAAUGCAGUACAUAAAAUUGGAAUCAUUAGCAUAGUUUAAUAUCGAAAUUAGUAUUAUUGGUUCAAUGCAAUUCACUUUAUUAUGCAAGUUAGUUGAUAAUUAGUCCACGGUAUUUAGUAUAUGAUUAGUUUAAUUAGUUUUGUGAUUUAAUUAGAUUAAUUAGUUGCUUUUUAAUUAGUUGAAUGAAUUAAAUUUAAUAGGUUCGAUUAAAUGAAUUUAGAUGUAUUUGUCGAGGCAUGUAUUGAGUUUUGCUUAUGAUAGCUAUUUAGUGGGGAUAAUUUAAGUAUUUGAAAUAAUUGCUACAUUUAAUACAUUAAAUGCAUAAAUAUAAUGUAAUUAGGUUAGCUUUAUUUCAAAAUUAGGGGUAUUAGUUUAAUGCAAUUCACUUUGUUGCGCAAGUUAGUUGAUAAUUAGCUUGUGCUAUUUAGUAUCUGAUUAGAUUAAGUAGUUUUGUGGUUUAAUUAGUUAAAUUAGGAACUCUCACUCUUUUGUAAUUAAUUAAUUUUAAGAGGUCGAUUAAAUGAACUUAGAUUUAUUUGUCGAGGCAUGUAUUGAGUUUUGAUUAUGAUAGCUAUUUAGUGGGGAUAAUUUAAGUAUUUGAAAUAAUUGCUACAUUUAAUACAUUAAAUGCAUAAACAUAAUGUAAUUAGCAUAAAAUCAUUUUAAAAUAGGGUUUUUAAUAUUAGUAAGAUAUUUGAUUAGAAUGGUUAUUUAAUUGACCCAAUAUGAAAUGUAGGUGCAUGAUAGACUUAGCAUAAGGUAAAAUUUUUAUAACUAAAUGUAGUAAUUAAGGUGGUUAAUUAGGUUUACUUUGUUAUUUAUUAAAUGAUACGUUUAUUUGUUAUAAAUGGUUGAAUUAUUUAAUUAUAAUGCAUUUUUUGUUGUUAUUUGUUAUAUUACUGGUUAUUAUUUGUUACAAUUAUGGACUCAUAAUUAUUUAUUUAUUUGUUAUAAAUUAUACAUAUUUGAUUCGAUCAAUUAAUUGAUUAUUCAAAUAAGCUUAUCAAUGCGAUUUUACAAUGUUAUCAACACUCGUCCGUAAUAGGUAUAACAUGUCAAGUGAUAAUUGCCUGGUGAUACAAUUAUAUUGGGGAGGAAAAAUUAUAUACAAAAAGGGGUCAAUUUCAUAUGAUCCUCCUAUACCGAAAGAUGCGUUGUUCCUGACAGAGGUGGUGGGUUAUGAUGAAUUGGUAGACAGAAUAUACACUAGUAUGGGUUUAGAUCGGAACAGCUAUAAGAUUAGUUUGAUAUAUCGGAGUUGUCUCCAAAAUGGCAAGUUUGGUGCAAUGCCUUUGGUAAAUGACAAUGGAGUUGCUGGUCUGUACUACUUACAAUCUGGUAGUAGACUUGCAACCGAAAUAUAUGUGGAGGUCGAGAAGCUAUUGGGUUUAGAAGAACAUGGUACCGAUGGUUUACAAAUUAUAAGUGGUAAUCUUGAGCGAGGCGGUAGCAGUUCCGAACAUAUAUCUUUAUUCCAGCCAGUUGGCCAUUUUGAGAGUCAAAUGACCCAACUAGCUGGAGCAGAUGUCGAACAAAGGCAUAGAGGGCGAAGAAGGGGUACUGGUCGGCAGACGAAUAAUGAUCCUCCAUGUACAGGUGCUCGAUCGAUAAUUCACCUCAACCAUUCAUUCUCGAGGUGCGAAUAUUGAAUCGGCACCAAUGUUUGAUACACAGCCAUCUACUGACGAUCAGUUUGUAGAUGUUGACAUGGACUCCGAACCGGAGCCCAAUCUUAGUGGUUCCGAUGAUGAGAACCACGAACAUGGUACUGACAGUCAAGCAGGGCAUCUAGAGGGCACAUCUAUGGCCCAUGAUGACAUGGAUCAUGGUGCUUCUUGGAUAAAUAGUGAGGGUCCACAACUGCGUUAUGAAGCUGGUGUUGACGCUGCAUUGAAUUUUGACCCCCUUGAUGCUGGGCGAGUGGAGAAGUUAAGAAUGUGGAACGAACACACCAGAGAUUUAGAAUUGGGCCUCCUUUUUGAAUCAAAGGAGCAUGUCCAACGAGCUGUGAAGUUGUGGUCCAUCAAGGAGAAUAGGGAGUUCAGAGUUCGUGAGAGCACGCCAACGACUUGGUAUGUCCGUUGUCGGGCUCGUAACUCCGUCCCCCCUUGUAAUUGGCAGCUUCAUGCAACCUUACGGAGCUCGCACAACAUGUGGAUGAUUGUCACACUUGCUGACGCAUAUACUUGCGUCCGUGUUUGCCAUAGUAACGAUCACCGUGGAUUGAGUAGUGACAUAAUUGCCGAGCACAUUAUUCCCCAUAUUAUGAAUGGUCCGGUGUACAAAAUCAAGGAAAUUCAGGCAUCGGUGAAACAAGAGUUUCAUUGCGAUGUGUCAUAUAAGAAGGCUUGGUACGCUAGACGCCGUGCCAUUGAUAUAUUAUAUGGGGACUGGCCGACAUCCAUAUCGCAACUGCCGACAUAUAUUGAGGAGUUACAACAGUCGAAUCCAGGGACGGUAGUUGUGUGGGAUCAUCAUCCAUUAAGUGCUCCCUCUGCAAUAAUCUUUGAUUAUAUAUUUUGGGCAUUUGCUCCAGCCAUCCAAGCUUUCCGUUAUCUAAAACCGGUGAUAUGCGUGGAUGGUACCUUUUUAAAAGGGCCUUAUCGGGGAAAAUUUCUUGUCGCCAUAGGGUUUGAUGCUAACAAUUCAAUGUUUCCCUUGGCAUAUGCCUUAGUUGAUGAGGAGAAUAAUCGGAGCUGGUCUUGGUUCAUGAGACUGUUACGCAUUCACGUGUGUGGUGAAGUGCAAAAUAUAUGUAUUAUUUCUGAUCGUCACCACGGCAUUAUAAAUGCAAUGCGUACACUCGAAGAGUGGCAGGAGCCAUUAGGGGUGCACCGAUUCUGUUUGAUUCAUAUUCGGAGCAAUUUCACACAAAAAUUCAAGAAUGAGAGGUAAAUUGUCUCCGAACCCUUAAAUAUUUUUUCAUCGCACCCUAACAUACUAAACAUAUAUUAAACUUAUUCUGACGAUAUUUUAUCACGUCUGGCAGACUUAAAAGCCUGAUGUACGCUGCUGGUGUGGCAAAUCAGCCGCGCAAGUAUGAGGAUAUCAUGAAUGUGAUUUACUCCAUGAAUACGGAGGCGUACACAUGGCUAACGGGUGGAUCAGUUCGACCCGAGCAAUGGGCUCUGUGCAAAGAUGGGGGAUAUCGUUGGGGGCACAUAUCCACAAAUAUGACCGAAUGUUUCAACAAUUUAUAGAGGGACGCUCGAUUGCUUCCAAUUACUGCAUGUAUACGGUUCACAUUCAACCAAACAGUUGACCUGUUUGUCAAAAAUCACAAGGUGGCAUGGAAUCAAGUAUACGCGCUCCCAAAAAAAUGUUGGGGUCAAUAUGUAAAAAAUGAAAAAAAGGGGAGGGCACAUGCAGUUCAAGUGUUCGAUCACCAGAGAGGCAUUUACUGUAUCACAACUGCUAGGAGGCAAAGCCGACAAGGAGGUCAUGCCCAGACUGUCGACAUUGGAAGUCGCACCUGUACAUGUGAAAAAUGGAGAGAACUACGCUUCCCAUGUUCACAUGCUAUGGCAGCGUGUUAUAGGUGUGGUAUUAGUCCAAUGACGCUUGUCGCUCAUGAACAUACGUUUCCCGCUUAUCAAGCUACAUUCAGUGGUUCUUUUCAGCCGCUACGGGAUCAAAAAUAUUGGAUCUCGGCGGAAUUAAAGCUGAAUGUCAAUGGAGAUCGGUUGAAACAAAAGAUGCCCGGACCAUUGAGAACUGCUAGGAUCAGAAAUCAAAUGGAUAGAAGAUGCCCUGAUGCACCACGCCGAUGCAGUAACUGCUUACAGCCUGGUCACACUGCCCCUAAUUGUCCAUAUGCUGGUUAUUUUCAUAAAUAACUUGAGAUGCCUCAGUUCUGGUAGACGGUUGUACUAAUAAGUAACUGAAUUUUGAUAUUUGAUAGUAUUAAAUGCAUAAACUUUUGAUGUAUUAUCUAUUGUGAACUGGUAGCUGGUCGUGAUAAAUAUUAAACUCUGGAUGUAUUGUGAUUGUGAUGCAUUUAUUAAAGUGUUAAAAUUUGGAUGUAUUAUUUUUUAUGUUAUUUGUAUUUGAAAGCAGGAUUUAAAAUGGAGCGAUGGGCCAGAACCACAUCACCCCCUCAUCCCGGUCCCUUGGAUGACAGUGUUUUAUAUCUACAAUCAGAACAUAGGUCAUCUGCGAUCUUCCAAGGCACAGGUGUGGAUUUAGAUGUUCGGCGGUGUGAUAAGAGAUUUUUUCAACCUCUUAUACAUUUAGAUGAACGGGUUGCACAGUACAUCGAUGCUGCUGGCUUUUAUGGCAUUCGCCGAGCCGGUUAUCUCACAGUAGAUCAUGGUCUUAUAAAUGCACUUGUAGAGCGUUGGAGGCAAGAGACACACACUUUUCACCUUCCAGUUAUGGGAGAGGCGACUGUGACUCUGCAGGAUGUGGAGGUUUUGUGGGGUUUAAGCGUUGAUGGUCUACCCGUCACAUUAGUACAGACGAAACGUAGUCCAUUAGACCGCAAACAAUUGGUUAACGACCUUUUGGGAUAUUGGCCAGAAGAUAACAUGCUCAACCACGGUCGUCUGAAGUUAUCAUCCAUAUCCCGACGGUUGAGUACGCCACUGCCUGCAGAUGCUUCUGAUGAGAUGGUUCGCCAGUAUGCCCGGAUGAACAUCCUAAUUCUAUUGGGUGGAUUGCUAUUUGCAGAUUCGUGUCAGAACGUCGUCAGUUUAAGUUGGCUAGACUAUGUUCAUGAUUUGGAUGCCAUGAGCCAGUAUAGCUGGGGAUCUGCGACGUUGGCGUGUUUAUACCGACGAUUGUGCCACGCAUAACGUGUUUCUGCAAUCACAUCUGGAGGUCCAUACUUGUUAGUACAGCUUUGGGCGUGGGAGCAGAUUCCCGUGAUUCGUCCUGAUGUACUCCUAUAUUCUGGGAUUGGGGAUUUUCCUAGAGGUGGUAGAUGGGCCGCUGAACGAACAGGGGUUGACCCUUAUAGCCGAUCCGCUACAUCUUAUCGGGAGCAACUAGCCUUAUUGUGGUUGGAUCAGGUAUAACGUCCUACAUAUCAAUAAAUUAUAUUUUAUAGUCCCUCGUUUUUAAUUUUGGAUCGUAUCUAAAUUAUGGUUAUGGUAGCAGUUUAUUUGGAUGCCGUAUAGCGAUGGCGUACUGGCUAGUCUACCUGAUUAUUGCAGAAGAGGGGAGUGCAUAUGGCGGGCAAGAGUCCCUCUAAUUUUCUGGCACAUCGUCGAAAUAUAUUGUCCAGAUCGUGUCAUGCGCCAAUUUGGGAUGAGGCAGGAAAUUCCGGAAGAAGUUGACACUAAUCGAGGUUUACACCAAUUGGAGAUUUCCGGUUAUCCUGGAAGAAAUUGGGCUCAUUUUCAUCGGGAUUGGAUAGGAUACUGGAAUGCGCGUGGAGAAGCACAAGUACCUGGUGUGCCUACAACCACGUUCAGGCCUUCCAAUAAUUAUCUGGAGUGGUAUCACAAUCACACCGUUCUGUACAUUACGCCGCCUAUCCAGCAGCAGACACAAGUUGGACAAAUGUUGCAUGGAGUUUCGGGCCAGUUUGAGUAUUUAGUAAAUUACUAUUAUCUCCCAAAUUUAAUUUAUUUACUUUUGGACAAUGGAUGAUCAUGUUUUCUCCUAUUUUGUAUAUGUCAGAUGAAUACUAUGCAGCGCAUUGGUCGGCAAUCACAUGAUGCACUUGAACUUGAUGACCCUGGAAGUCGAUUUCAUCCACGUCUUGCAACAAUUGUUGAUGGAGCAUAUGGAUCAAUGCAAUAUCUCCAGCGCUUUGAUCGUAUGGUUGUUGGUGAUUAUGAUUCUUUCAAUCAUAAUCCUCAUGUGACACCAGAAAUUCCUAUCCAACCUCGCGUGCGACGUGUCCCUACACAAGGUGGACCAUCAUCUAGUAGAAGUCGACGCCAUAGGCAUGGGUUGCAGGACAAAGUCAUUGAGGAGACGGGCAUUCAAAUGACCGAGGGGGGCACUCAGUCGCAUUACAACCCGACUAGUAAUCAAUUCACCACAUCUGUGCCUUUGUCGAUGACAGACAUUCACGGUGUGUCACCUGGACAGAAUAUAUCGGCCUUUACCCCUCAGGUGACAUCGUUCCCGCACUCACAGCAUAUUGCUCUAGAUGCCACGCCUUUGCCACAGUUUCCACCUUUUGGUGUAUAUUCCAGGCCCUCUCCAUAUUUGCCUGUAUUUGGGGGACAUUUUCCAUCCUCGUCAAACGAGCCUCCAUUUGGAUACGUUGCCACUGCAGCGGACUCAUCUUCUACUGCUAAGCUACAUCCAAUAUUCAAUUUUCUGAACGAAACGGGUGGUGUCCCUUCCAUUUCAGACCUUCCCGAUUAUUACAGCCUUGGACAGACUACGACCGUACCUGCGUCGAUCCAGCCGAUAUCUACUACUACAUACGGUCAGACGGGGGAUUUUGCCACGUAUCGUUCUCAACACGAUGGUGAUAGCAGUACGACAGUUGAGUCGGAUGAGGAGGAUGACGUAGGACCCUAUGCUCUUCGUGAUCGUUGCAGACGAAAGCUUAAAAGAUUUUGUUGUCCGUCUACAACACCAGGUGAUAAAGGCAAGGGCAAAAGGCGUACCAACCGUUGAUAUGAUCAUUUCAAUUGCAUGUUUUACAAUUUCAAAUAUUUGAAUAUGAGGAUUUAGCGUUAAUUUAAUCUUUUAUUAUUAUAAUGCUUAUCGCUAUUUUUAAAUUCAC
rnacentral:lncRNA from 1 species